UAGUCAUUACGUUUACUACACUCUCAUGC
rnacentral:sRNA from 1 species